rnacentral:rRNA from 1 species
AGUGAACGCUGGCGGUAGGCCUAACACAUGCAAGCCGAACGGCAGCACAGUAAGAGCUUGCUCUUACGGGUGGCGAGUGGCGGACGGGUGAGGAGUACAUCGGAAUCUACUUUUUCGUGGGGGAUAACGUAGGGAAACUUACGCUAAUACCGCAUACGACCUACGGGUGAAAGCAGGGGAUCUUCGGACCUUGCGCGAUUGAAUGAGCCGAUGUCGGAUUAGCUAGUUGGCGGGGUAAAGGCCCACCAAGGCGACGAUCCGUAGCUGGUCUGAGAGGAUGAUCAGCCACACUGGAACUGAGACACGGUCCAGACUCCUACGGGAGGCAGCAGUGGGGAAUAUUGGACAAUGGGCGCAAGCCUGAUCCAGCCAUACCGCGUGGGUGAAGAAGGCCUUCGGGUUGUAAAGCCCUUUUGUUGGGAAAGAAAAGCAGCAGGUUAAUACCCCGCUGUUCUGACGGUACCCAAAGAAUAAGCACCGGCUAACUUCGUG